GACGAACGCUGGCGGCGUGCCUAAUACAUGCAAGUAGAACGCUGAAGCUUGGUGCUUGCACCGAGCGGAUGAGUUGCGAACGGGUGAGUAACGCGUAGGUAACCUGCCUGGUAGCGGGGGAUAACUAUUGGAAACGAUAGCUAAUACCGCAUAAAAUGGAUUAUCGCAUGAUAAUUCAUUGAAAGGUGCAAAUGCAUCACUACCAGAUGGACCUGCGUUGUAUUAGCUAGUUGGUGGGGUAACGGCUCACCAAGGCGACGAUACAUAGCCGACCUGAGAGGGUGAUCGGCCACACUGGGACUGAGACACGGCCCAGACUCCUACGGGAGGCAGCAGUAGGGAAUCUUCGGCAAUGGACGGAAGUCUGACCGAGCAACGCCGCGUGAGUGAAGAAGGUUUUCGGAUCGUAAAGCUCUGUUGUAAGAGAAGAACGAGUGUGAGAGUGGAAAGUUCACACUG
rnacentral:rRNA from 1 species